rnacentral:rRNA from 1 species
CCUACGGGCGGCAGCAGUGGGGAAUAUUGCACAAUGGGGGGAACCCUGAUGCAGCAACGCCGCGUGGGUGAAGAAGUACUUCGGUAUGUAAAGCCCUGUCAGCAGGGAAGAAAAUGACGGUACCUGACCAAGAAGCCCCGGCUAACUACGUGCCAGCAGCCGCGGUAAUACGUAGGGGGCAAGCGUUAUCCGGAUUUACUGGGUGUAAAGGGAGCGUAGACGGCAAGGCAAGUCGGGAGUGAAAGCCCGUGGCUCAACCACGGGACUGCAUUGGAAACUGUGUUGCUGGAGUGCAGGAGGGGUAAGCGGAAUUCCUAGUGUAGCGGUGAAAUGCGUAGAUAUUAGGAGGAACUCCGGUGGUGAAGGCGGCUUACUGGACUGUAACUGACGUUGAGGCUCGAAGGCGUGGGGAGCAAACAGGAUUAGAUACCCUUGUAGUC